rnacentral:lncRNA from 1 species
UUACCUCAAAUCCUCUGGUGGCUUUCCAUUUCACUCAGAGUUAAGCCAAGGUCCUUGCAGUAAGGUCUGGAAACCAUCUGUUUCUCUCACUCAUCAAGUUUACUGUCUUUUUUCCCCACUAGAAUGUGUGCCCUCCAUGAGGGCAGGGGCUUUUCUCUGUUUUGCUUACUACAUUCAUCUACCUCCAGUGCCUGAUGCCCAGGAGAUGCUCAAAACCUGUUUAUUGCCAUCUGUUGAAUGCGCCCUCCUCUCCUACCCCUCUUUUGGAGUGGGAGGCAGAUGGUGAAGUCUGAGUGUGUGCUGCAGUCCAAGGCUGCUAUUUCCAAGCAAGGAGCAGGAGAAGGCAAAGCAGAAAUGCAAAAAAGUGGCUACAAAAAGCUUGCCUGGGUGAUCUUGUUAUUUAUGGAAUUAAUUUACACAAUUUUGUGUACUCUGAGGUCAAAUAAACCUUUUUGUUCUUUUAUUUCAUUCUUUUACCAUACUAUCUAAACUGAGGCAUUCAAGAGUAAAUAGAAAAAAAUUUAGCUGGUGCAAAAACUUGGGGAAUCUGUUUCCUCAGAGAUUUGUCUUGGAUAACUGGUCUCCUUCUACAUCAGGGAAGAAAUUGGAGUACUGCCUCACUGAGCCAUCAGAUGUCUGGGUUUGCAAAAGUGACACUCAGGGCUAUUUAUUUCCUCCAGAGCACUUGGCUUGAAGGGAAUUAAUGAGGUUGCCCAUUGAGUGGAGGUGCCUUCAUGGCAGUAAGAGAUUCGAACAGGAACCUCUCCCUAGAGGGAGACCUGCAGACCUUCCCACUUCAUUAUCCUAUAUAAUAAAGGCAAUUUUGCAUUAGGGAAGUCAGUGUCUGGGGCCUGCCCUGUAGAUGGUCUAUGGACAAGUGCUCCACCCGCAGCCAUGCUGAUUGCUGUGUCUGCAGUUUUGGUUCUCCCCCCUUCUCCCCACACCCCCCAACAUCCCAGCUCUGCCAAAGCUGAUUGGACAAUGAUGGGUAUUGGUGGACCCGCCUCCCGCCCCCAACAGUCUAUCCUGGGCUGGCAAGCAAACUAUGGUGUGGUCUGGGAGAGCAAAAGGAGCUGGACUAGUCAAAUAUGCUCUCUUGGGAAUUUGAUCAGGGUAAUGAGGCUAUUCGCUACGGGAGGGGAGCAAAAAAUAGAGAGUGGAGAUUGGGAGAUGGGCAGAAUGAUAUAGAAGAGAAGAAAGACACAGUGGCUGAGUGAAUAAGCCAGCAAGGGACACAAGAAUAAAUGGACAGUGAAGUUGCUGAGCCACAUUAAGGAUGGCCCAUUACUGCAAAACCCAACCCUGAAGUUGAUGUGGGUCCCAGACUCAUGUUCCACUCCCAGGCUCUAGGAAUCGUUUCAUACCAAGUUGAGGAUCAAGAAUCCUCCCUGGUCCCUUUCUGGGAUUUCCAUCUUCUCCUUUUGCCUGUGCCAUUCUUAUAAUAGCCACUCCACCCCCAUCCCAUUUUACUUAUUUCCUGAAUUGGCCAGAGUGUUUUGUCUCUCUUCCAACCAAAAGGACUAACUCAAUCCAAUGUCUUCAUUAAUUUGACCAAGCAGCAAUAUUAAAGGAUGAAAUAGGGGAUCCCUGGGUGGCGCAGCGGUUUGGCGCCUGCCUUUGGCCCAGGGCACGGUCCUGGAGACCCGGGAUCGAGUCCCACGUCGGGCUCCCGGUGCAUGGAGCCUGCUUCUCCCUCUGCCUGUGUCUCUGCCUCUCUCUCUCUCUCUGUCUAUCAUGAAUAAAUAAACAAAAAAUAAAAAAA